UUCUAUAACUCUCCUUUUGUGUAUAAGGCAUAGUUUCACUUAUCUGCCCACUUGCAGUUAGAUGUGACAAUGUAGUUUGCUUGGCCAAUAAAUGUGAAUGGAACUGAUGUGCAGAAACUUUGACAGCCAGUAUCUACUUUUUUGCAUGUUCUCUUUUUCCUCAAAAGAGAACAUGUUUAACAUGUAUUGUUAAAAAGCAAUAAGACUACUUAAGAUAAUUCUUAUAUAAGGUAAUUAUAACCACAGCUCAAGAACUAGGAACAAUUUUUGCUAAGAAGUACCUGUACAGCAUCACAGGGCUAUACUUUUGAGAAUAUAUUUAUUUCUCCCAAGGCUAGUGUUUUUUUUUUAUUUUAAAAGAUAAAAGUUUUAGAACACAGUCUUCGCCGUAUUUCCUGCAAUCCUUGCUAUUAAUAUUAAAAUGUAUUUAAAAAUAACUUUGAUAUGUAAUUUUUAAAACAUAUUUAAACAUAAUGAAGCACUAAUAUUCAAAUAAAUAAUGUUUAGUAUCUGAAAAAAAGUUAAGAUUUAAAUAUACUGUCUGGAUAUUCUCAUAAUGAAACACAGAAGUAUUAUUUGCAAGAAGGAAUGCUACCCAUUGAUUUUGUUUUCUAAUGACUGUUUCUGGGUCUCUUGUUAGAGGAGAUAGGUGAAAAUCAUCCCACAUUAUCACAUUUCUGGCAAUUCCCCCACCUCUUCAAUGACAGCUUCAUAGGCCAUCAUUGGGGGAAGGGGUAGCAGGAGGACAGAUAUAAGAAAAAACCUUCAGCUACAUGUUAGAAACCAAUGAAGACUAACACCCUUGCUUACAACAUAUCUCCUUCCUCUUUCCCUGUAUAUUUUUAGUGCAAUUGACUGCAGAAAGAAUUGGCUGCCUGCUAGACCCAGAAGCAGGGUCUAUUCAACUAUUCAGUGAUUUAGAAAGAGAGUCAGAAGAAACAGAAUUCCUUUUAUUCCACAAGGACUCAUAAGAACGUGUAAAGGAAAACAAUGGACCUUAUUUGUUGCCAAUGAUAAAAUUCAAGAAUUCCUGCAAAAAUUAGAAUCUUGGAUAACUUAAAUUCUCUGCUAUGUGCAACUUGACACUGACAGAGUGGUUUGCUACCAGGCGCACAUGGAGAGGGAGCGCUAGAACCCUGCUCUCCUAAAUCUAGAUCACGCUGCUGUACUUGAAGGCUCGGUGUCUCUUUUCCGAUUUUGUGUUAUAAGAAAUCGGUAGGAAGACACUUCGAACCUCUUACAAUCGAUGACCGCAGGGGGCCGCUCCG